UACAGAGGGUGCGAGCGUUAAUCGGAAUUACUGGGCGUAAAGCGCACGUAGGCGGCUUGGUAUGUCGGGUGUGAAAUCCCCGGGCUCAACCUGGGAACUGCAUCCGAAACUGCAUUGCUAGAGUAUGGGAGAGGGAAGCGGAAUUUCUGGUGUAGCAGUGAAAUGCGUAGAUAUCAGAAGGAACAUCAGUGGCGAAGGCGGCUUCCUGGACCAAUACUGACGAUCAGGUGCGAAAGCGUGGGGAGCAAACAGG
rnacentral:rRNA from 1 species